CAACGAUUGUUACCUAUUGCAUUUGCAGAGAUACUUCCGGAACAUGUCAACCAAGCUAUAUCAGGAAUUAGUAACUUUUUCCGGGAAAUCUGUAGUCGGACAUUGAAAAAUGGAGACGUCCACUUGAUGAAGCAAAAUAUUGUUCUAAUUUUGUGCAAUUUAGAGAAGAUAUUCCCACCAUCUUUUUUUGAUGUGAUGGAACAUCUGCCAAUUCAUCUGCCACGAGAAGCGGAACUCGGCGGUCCGGUUCAGUUUAGAUGGAUGUACCCGUUUGAGCGGUUUAUGUACCACUUGAAGCAAAAAGCGA